rnacentral:piRNA from 1 species
CUUUACUAACCCUCAAAGAGAGC